AAAGAUGAUCCUUUCUUGUUUCAAUACCACCUGAAACCCAUUUAACUUUCUACAUUUGAUUCUUGGAGAUGUUUAUGUUCACGGUUCUGUCCAAGCAAUGUAUUAUUCCUGUUUUUACCUGAUUGAUCGUGGAGAAAAAUAAUGGAUUCAGUUAUGAGAAGCAGUAAUAGAUUUUUUUAAAAACUGACAUAAAUUUCUUUUUCUGUAUAGAAUAAAAGGAUCAGGAAAAGAUAAGUUGAAUUUUCCUACAAUGAAGCCAGCUCUUGUUAAAUUUACCACCCAUAAAUUGUAGCAAAGCACUUUCUAUGUAAUGUUUUAUUUAUGUGAUUCAGUUACUUGGAGGUGGUGGUGAGGGAUGUGAGUACAUAAUUUCAAUAUGGUAUUUCAAAUAUCUUUUGACAAAAACCUAAGAAUUCUUGUAAUAGGAAAAAUUUCAGAUUCCGUUAAACCUCUUUUAAGAAGGUUAGGAAGGAAAUAGGUUUACCUUACAUAAGGUCAAACGAGGCGCAGGCACAGAGUGGACUCCUAAUAGUUGUGGGACCUGAAUAUUGUGUCAUUGAAAAACAAGGGUAAAGUCAAAGUGACCAGCAAUCUCCAAACUGGGUUGGAGAAUGGGUGUUAUAACAAUGUUAUGGUCAUAAGGAAACCCCUCUAAUGUGUGGAAAUAAUUAUUGUGUGAAAUGAUUAAUGUGUGAAAUGUUUGCUGGGUGAAGACCCCAAUACUCUGUAACUUCCAAAAUGUGGUGAAUGCUCCACUAUCUUGAUAUGAAUGCCCUAAGCCCUUAAAACAUAAACACCCUGCUCCUAGCACAAGGCACACCGUCUGGCCCACACUGAUAAGACACAAGUUGUUUACCACCGUCUGUAUAAGCAACAGAUUUUCUUCAGUGGACAUCUCCUGCCUGAUGAGAGGAGGACUCCAUGUCACUCCGUGAGACAAGCCCCUGAUUGACUGCUCUGUUGUGCGAGCCUGAACCAACUGUGGCCACCUGUCUGUCUCCAUCUUUGUCGUCGUCUUUUGGUGUGCAUCGCCGGGUGGCCUUUGCUGGAGCCUAGGACCCACUAGGAAUAGGUGUUUCAUCUCACAGCAUCACAGGACCAAGAAGAUGAAGGUGAUAGAGGUACCCACUAUCUUUCCUGAUUACAUUUAAAAGAGAUGGCUUCCAGCAAGAGAAUGAAGAAGAUUUCAUCUCAAAGGGGCAGAGAAAGAAUUUACAAUUGCAAGUUUUCCAAAGUAAAUGAUCUAAGGAAAGGGGGGUCAGAGGUCUACAGUCA